rnacentral:rRNA from 1 species
GUGAACGCUGGCGGUAGGCCUAACACCUGCAAGUCGAACGGCAGCACAGUAAGAGCUUGCUCUUACGGGUGGCGAGUGGCGGACGGGUGAGGAAUACAUCGGAAUCUACUUUUUCGUGGGGGAUAACGUAGGGAAACUUACGCUAAUACCGCAUACGACCUACGGGUGAAAGCAGGGGAUCUUCGGACCUUGCGCGAUUGAAUGAGCCGAUGUCGGAUUAGCUAGUUGGCGGGGUAAAGGCCCACCAAGGCGACGAUCCGUAGCUGGUCUGAGAGGAUGAACAGCCACACUGGAACUGAGACACGGUCCAGACUCCUACGGGAGGCAGCAGUGGGGAAUAUUGGACAAUGGGCGCAAGCCUGAUCCAGCCAUACCGCGUGGGUGAAGAAGGCCUUCGGGUUGUAAAGCCCUUUUGUUGGGAAAGAAAAGCAGCAGGUUAAUACCCCGCUGUUCUGACGGUACCCAAAGGAUAAGCACCGGCUAACUUCGUG